rnacentral:rRNA from 1 species
GAUGAACGCUGGCGGCGUGCCUAAUACAUGCAAGUCGAGCGAACAGACGAGGAGCUUGCUCCUCUGACGUUAGCGGCGGACGGGUGAGUAACACGUGGAUAACCUACCUAUAAGACUGGGAUAACUUCGGGAAACCGGAGCUAAUACCGGAUAAUAUAUUGAACCGCAUGGUUCAAUAGUGAAAGACGGUUUUGCUGUCACUUAUAGAUGGAUCCGCGCCGCAUUAGCUAGUUGGUAAGGUAACGGCUUACCAAGGCAACGAUGCGUAGCCGACCUGAGAGGGGGAGCGGCCACACUGGAAAUGAGACACGGUCCCGGGUCCUACGGGAGGGAGCAGUAGGGAAUCUUUCGCAAUAGGCGAAAGCCCGACGGGGCAACGCCGCGUGAGUGAGGAAGGGCUUCGGAUCGGAAAACUCUGUUAUUAGGGAAGAAAAAAUUUGUAAGUUACUAUGCACGGCUUGACGGUAACUAAUCAGAAAGCCACCGCUAACUUCGUG